rnacentral:rRNA from 1 species
GUCUCUUAGAAAUUAUUAAGAGUCAGGCCUGCCCAGUGAUUGCUUUAUUUAACGGCCGCGGUACCUUGACCGUGCAAAGGUAGCAUAAUCAUUUGCCUUUUAAUUGGAGGCUGGUAUGAAUGGUUCGACGAGAGUAAAACUGUCUCAUACACAUUAACUAGAAACUAAUUUAAAGGUGCAAAAGCCUUUAUAAAACAAAAAGACGAGAAGACCCUAUUGAGCUUUAAUUUUAAUGUGCACUAACUUUAUAUUUAUAUAACUAUUUGCUCAAUAAAAAUUUUAAUUGGGGCGAUUAAGGAACACAAUGAAGCUUCCUGAUUUUAAUAUUAAAUGUUUAUAGAUUAAAUCGAUCCAGCAAUGCUGAUCAACAAAAUGAGUUACCUUAGGGAUAACAGCAUAAUUCUUUUUCAGAGCUCAUAUCGAAAAAAGAGAUUGUGACCUCGAUGUUGGACUAGGGUAACGGGAAGGUGUAGCAGCUUUCUUGCUUGGUCUGUUCGACCAAUAAUUCCCU